rnacentral:rRNA from 1 species
UACGGAGGGAGCUAGCGUUAUUCGGAAUUACUGGGCGUAAAGCGCACGUAGGCGGCUUUGUAAGUAAGAGGUGAAAGCCUGGAGCUCAACUCCAGAAUUGCCUUUUAGACUGCAUCGCUUGAACCAUGGAGAGGUGAGUGGAAUUCCGAGUGUAGAGGUGAAAUUCGUAGAUAUUCGGAAGAACACCAGUGGCGAAGGCGGCUCACUGGACAUGUAUUGACGCUGAGGUGCGAAAGCGUGGGUAGCAAACAGG